CUGCAUAAGGUGUGCUCACCAACUCUCAAACUUCUGAUCAAGAUAGAUGGAAGACCCUUUUGUGGUAAAUACAGACUGUCAGAAAUCAGGUGUUGGUAGGUCUGGUUGCCCGUCUUAAUCCUGUAUACAGCAUACAGAGUGCAAAGUCUGUUUACCCACUGGCCAUUGCCAAUUGUAAAGAAAACAGGGAAAGCCUGAAGGUACUUUUAAAG